AUUGAACGCUGGCGGCGUGCCUAACACAUGCAAGUCGAACGAAGCGGAGGUGCUUGCACCUUUGACUGAGUGGCGCACGGGUGAGUAACGCGUGAAUGAUCUACCCAUCAGUUCGGGAUAGCAGCUGGAAACGGCUGGUAAUACCGGAUGCGGCACCGUAUCAUCGUGGUGUUAAAGGAGGCCUCUGUAUAUGCUUUCGCUGGUGGAUGAGUCCGCGUUACAAUAGGUAGUUGGUGAGGUAACGGCUCACCAAGCCGACGAUGAAUAGCUGGUCUGAGAGGAUGAUCAGCCACACUGGGACUGGAACACGGCCCAGGCUCCUACGGGAGGCAGCAGUGGGGAAUAUUGCGCAAUGGGCGAAAGCCUGACGCAGCGACGCCGCGUGAGGGAUGAAGGGCUUCGGUUCGUAAACCUCUGUCAGAAGGGAAGAAGUGUGGCCUUGCUAAUCAGGGGCCAUUUGACGGUACCUUCAAAGGAAGCACCGGCUAACUCCGUGCCAGCCGCCGCAGUAAGAC
rnacentral:rRNA from 1 species